rnacentral:lncRNA from 1 species
GCCCUCCCACGGGCAGCAUCCAGGGCCAAGGCCGGUUCAGCCUCACGUUUGCGACUCUGUUUUCCUUUCAAGCCUUCCCAUCCGGGAAACCCUCUGUCGCUGAUCAGACGGUCGCGAAGAGUCAUGAGCACACGGGGAGGGAGAAGCUCUGCAGACCCUGGACCCCGCUUGGCUCGACCUCCUCCGCAGAGCUUGUCCUUGGCUUGCAGCGGCGGAGACCACGCGCGACAGAAGCAGAAAAGCCUCGGGAGCAGGUUCCACCGGAGACCUCGAGCCGGCCGGGGCGCACAGGCUGUCGGAGCUGCAGAGCUCUGGAGCCUUCCGUUAAGAACUUAUUAAGGGGGUUGGGGAUUUAGCCCAGUGGUAGAGCGCUUGCCUAGCAAGCGCAAGGCCCUGGGUUCUGCCCCCAGCUCCGAAAAAAAGAAAGAAAGAAAGAAAAAGAACUUAUUAAGUGGGAGGUGGUUAAGAGUUGAUCUGUCGCAGAGCGCUACUUACCCCAGAUCUUUGAGAUUUUUGAAUUACUUUUAUUGAUCUGUAGACUGUGUUCUUUGGAAUGUGACCCCGUCGGACUUCGAGUUAAUCAGGAAGCGCUGCCGGGGAGGGUUCCUUGUCAUCACCCCCGGACCUCCCCCACCGCGGGCACACUCCCCACCCCACCCUUAAUAGCAGCCUGGGCCGUGCCUGGAACCGCCAGCCCUUGGAACCCGCCCCACUGCGCGACCGGGAGCUGUCUGUGGUGCUAGGAAAGAGAACCUGGGAGAUCGCCCGGAGUAGGGACAGGCAAGAAGAGGUAAAGAGGAAGAAACAGAAUGGCAGCUCACCCAAAAAGGCUCAAAAUGGCUGAGGCCUUUCACAUUCGAAGCGAGGAAAAGAUGUCCUACAGCCCUGGAGCCCACCAACACCCAGUCUGGGUUUCCACACCUACUCCCGUUCAGACAGAAGCAAGUUGUCUUCUACAGGCGAUAUGGAAGAGUGCUGGGCACUGGGACCCAACUCAAAAAAAAAAAAAAAUACUCAAGUGACAGAGAAGACUAAAGACCCCCCAGAAAGUAUUCUCGAACAAAGUGAGAGAAGACUCCUAAAGAAGUUCAUCCAGGGUCAGACCUGGAGAUGACCCCAUUCGCCCACAACUGCCUGUGGUCAGCCACCAGGACACAGGGUGGGCCAGCUUCCCCCAACAAGGGUUCAAAGCUGCCCAGGAAAGCCUGGUUCAUCUUCUCCAGAACUGUUUGUGAGUGGUGAAAAGUCAGGGCUUGUUCUCCAAGCUUGCUGACUUCAAGCCCUGCCUGGCUUUUUCUUCCAGUGUAUUCUUUGUAACCUCAUGGUUUAACAAGCACUGAAGUUUCCCUAGCCCUGGGGAGGGCUUUUCCCAAUGUCUUUAGAAAGUUAAAAAUAUAACAAACCAAACUAGUCCCAAGCCACCUUGUUUAAGGGGUGGGAGUCGAACUUACUCUCCUCAUGGG